AAUAUCAGUCAUAUGAAUCAAUCGAUCGAUCCGAGUCCGAUGUGAAACCCAAUAAAUUUUUUUUUCAUUAUUUCACUCUGCCAUGGCCAUGGGCUUAAGAACUCGAUCUUUCGAUCAUCAUAGGACUACUCCUCUUAUCUACCGAGGUUGAUAGAUCCCAUCUUGGUGCGAUCUAGUUCCUACAAUGGAUAUGCUACAGCCAACAUACACCUCAGGGUUCUGAAUGGCUAGGAGAUCGAGUUAUGGUGUAGUCAAACUAUAACACACUCAAGGUGAACUGUCGAUGCACCUCAGGUCAAAGAACUGGACACACAACUGCAGC
rnacentral:lncRNA from 1 species